UACGUAGGGUGCAAGCGUUGUCCGGAAUUAUUGGGCGUAAAGCGCGCGUAGGCGGCCCGGUAAGUCCGCUGUGAAAGUCAAAGGCUCAACCUUUGAAUGUCAGCGGAUACUGCCGGGCUAGAGUCCGGAAGAGGCGAGUGGAAUUCCUGGUGUAGCGGUGGAAUGCGCAGAUAUCAGGAGGAACACCAACGGCGAAGGCAGCUCGCUGGGACGGUACUGACGCUGAGGCGCGAAAGCGUGGGGAGCGAACAGG
rnacentral:rRNA from 1 species